GAAAAGGAUUUCCGGUUGCGGAUGGGGAUGCGUCCGAUUAGGCAGCAGGCGGGGUGACGGCCCACCGUGGCCCGCGAUCGGUAGGGGUUCUGAGAGGAAGGUCCCCCACAUUGGAACUGAGACACGGUCCAAACUCCUACGGGGAGCAGCAGUGAGGAAUAUUGGUCAAUGGGGCGGAAGCCUGAACCAGCCAAGUAGCGUGUGGGAUGACGGCCCUACGGGUUGUAAACCACGUUUUGCGCGGGGAUAACCGCGGGUGCGCGCCACCCGCCUGCAGGUACCGCGUGAAUAAGGACCGGCUAAUUCCGUGCC
rnacentral:rRNA from 1 species